CCCAUCCGCCGUAAGCCCAAGGUUUCCGGGGUAAAGGUAAUCUGCCCCGGGUUAGUCGGCCCCUAAGGCGAGGCUGAAAAGCGUAGUCGAUGGGAAACAGGUUAAUAUUCCUGUACUUGUAUAGAUGUGCGAUGGAGGGACGGAGUAGGAUAGACACGCUGGCUGUUGGAAUAGCCAGUGCAAGUGUGUAGGGUUGAGGUACAGGCAAAUCCGUACCUCUAGAUGCCUGAGACAUGAUGCGGUGCUCGCAAGAGCGUAAGGUGUUGAGUCCAUGCUUCCAAGAAAAGCUUCUAAGUUUAGUCUAUGCAAACCGUACCGCAAACCGACUCAGGUGGGCGGGAUGAGUAAUCCAAGGCGCUCGAGAGAACUGUAGUUAAGGAAUUCGGCAAAAUGACCCCGUAACUUCGGGAUAAGGGGUGCUCUUUGUUGUUAGUUUCUUAGCGAAACAAAGCAACGGAGAGCCGCAGAGAAAUGGCGGUGGCGACUGUUUACUAAAAACAUAGGUCUAUGCAAAGUCGUAAGACGACGUAUAUGGACUGACGCCUGCCCGGUGCCGGAAGGUUAAGGGGAGUUGUUAGCAUUAGCGAAGCAGCGAACCGAAGCCCCGGUAAACGGCGGCCGUAACUAUAACGGUCCUAAGGUAGCGAAAUUCCUUGUCGGGUAAGUUCCGACCUGCACGAAUGGCGUAACGAUCUCCGCACUGUCUCAACUACAGACUCGGUGAAAUUGAAUUCGCGGUGAAAAUGCCGUGUACCCGCAGCAAGACGGAAAGACCCUGUGCACCUUUACUAUAGCUUGACAUUGGGUUUUGGGCUAGCAUGUGUAGGAUAGGUGGGAGGCUUUGAAGCAGGCACGCCAGUGUUUGUGGAGCCAACCUUGAAAUACCACCCUUGCUAGUCUAAGGCUCUAAUCCUCUACCGUUAUCCGGUUAGGAAACAGUGUCUGGUGGGUAGUUUGACUGGGGCGGUCGCCUCCUAAAGAGUAACGGAGGCAUACAAAGGUUCGCUCAGACUGAUUGGAAACCAGUCGUUGAGUGCAAACGCAUAAGCGAGCUUGACUGUAAGAGAGACAUCUCGAGCAGGAACGAAAGUUGGUGUUAGUGAUCCGGUGGUUCCGCAUGGAAGGGCCAUCGCUCAUUGGAUAAAAGGUACGCCGGGGAUAACAGGCUGAUCGCGCCCAAGAGUUCACAUCGACGGCGCGGUUUGGCACCUCGAUGUCGGCUCAUCACAUCCUGGGGCUGAAGCAGGUCCCAAGGGUACGGCUGUUCGCCGUUUAAAGUGGUACGCGAGCUGGGUUUAAAACGUCGUGAGACAGUUUGGUCCCUAUCUGCUGUGGGCGUAGGAGAUUUGAAAGGACUUGCCCCUAGUACGAGAGGACCGGGGUGAACGAACCUCUGGUGGGUCAGUUGUCGUGCCAACGGCAUAGCUGAGUAGCUACGUUCGGAAGGGAUAACCGCUGAAAGCAUCUAAGCGGGAAGCCUCACUUAAGAUAAGAUCUCCCUCUCAUUUAU
rnacentral:rRNA from 1 species